ACCGGCGCACGGGUGAGUAACACGUAUGCAACCUGCCCUCCGCAGGGGGAUAACCCGGAGAAAUCCGGACUAAUACCGCGUGGUACACUUGUGGGGCAUCCCACGGGUGUUAAAAGGAAGUGAUUCCGGCGGAGGAUGGGCAUGCGGCGCAUUAGCUGGUUGGCGGGGUAACGGCCCACCAAGGCGACGAUGCGUAGGGGUUCUGAGAGGAAGGUCCCCCACACUGGUACUGAGACACGGACCAGACUCCUACGGGAGGCAGCAGUGAGGAAUAUUGGUCAAUGGGCGGGAGCCUGAACCAGCCAAGUCGCGUGAGGGAAGACGGUCCUAUGGAUUGUAAACCUCUUUAGGCGGGGAGCAAUGCCGGGCACGCGUGCCCGGAGGGAGAGUACCCGCAGAAUAAGCAUCGGCUAACUCCGUGCCAGCAGCCGCGGUAAUACGGAGGAUGCGAGCGUUAUCCGGAUUUAUUGGGUUUAAAGGGUGCGUGGGCGGAUUUUUAAGUCAGCGGUAAAAUGUCCGGGCUCAACCCGGGCCGGCCGUUGAAACUGGGGAUCUUGAGUGGGCGAGAAGUAUGCGGAAUGCGUGGUGUAGCGGUGAAAUGCAUAGAUAUCACGCAGAACUCCGAUUGCGAAGGCAGCAUACCGGCGCCCGACUGACGCUGAGGCACGAAAGCGUGGGGAUCGACAGGAUAGAUACCCUGNUA
rnacentral:rRNA from 1 species